rnacentral:sRNA from 1 species
UUACUAUCUGCGAUAUGGAAGAUUCGAACCUGCCGCAGGUUCGGGACGUCACGCAGUGAGACAACGGAGCCGCUUGCGGCGACGGCCCGAAGGGCGAGCGAAGCGAGUCAUCCUGCACGACCCACCA